rnacentral:tmRNA from 1 species
GGGGUCGUUCCGGUUUUGACGGGGGAUUGAUCUGGCCUGGAUUGCAGUGGUCUGAUAAACCUUAAGAUCAAAAACCAAUAACUGACAAUAGUUAUAUCCAUGCGAACCGCGCUAUGCGCGCUUCGUACGCUUGCGCUUAAUCAGUAACCUGAGGGUUUCCUGGCAUAGAUCCAGGAGCAGCGUGUCCUUCGCUUGAUUCGUGCCUCUCAAGCGUUUCGGGCAUCAUACAAAGGCAAUAGCCACGUACCUUUGACUAGAGGGAAAUGGUGAAAUUCAAUUGGUCUAGCUUUCCGCUCUUUGACUUCGUCAUAGCGGUGAGUUAAAUUCCGACGAAGCCUAAACUGUAGGCGUCCUCGUUGGAGGUCCUUCGGACGCGAGUUCGACUCUCGCCGGCUCCACCA